rnacentral:tRNA from 1 species
GGACCAUUGGGGUAGCUUGGAUAUCCUUCGACCCUGCGGAGGUUGAGACCCGUGUUCAAAUCGCGGAUGGUCCG